CAUUAAGUGACUGAAAGUAAGUAAUGGUCUCUUAAACCAAACCAUGGUAAGUAACAACUACCCUUAAUGA
rnacentral:tRNA from 1 species